UUUAUUUAUUAUAUUAUUAUUUUUAUUAAUUAUUUUUUAUUUUUAUAAAAAUAAUUUGUUUUUUAGUAUAUUUUAUUGAAAUAUCUUUUUUAAUAAUAGUUUAUAAGUAUCGUGAGAGAAUUAUUUUAAUUUUUUAUAAGAAUUUUUUUAUGGAGUACCUUUUGCAUCAGGGUUUAUUAAUUAUUAUUUAAUUAUUAUUAUUUUUCUCGAAAUUAUAAGAUCUAUUUUAGUAUGAUUGUUAAUGUUUUAAAUUUAUAUUUAAUAUUAUUAUAGUGGUUAUAUGCUAUUCAUUUAUUAAUAUAUCUAGUUUUUUAAUAAUUUUAUUUAAUAAAGAAUUACAUUUAUUAAUACUAAUAUUUUAUUUAUAUUAUUUUGUAUUUUUAAUCAAUUAAGGAUAAGCUUUUUUGAUUUUUUAUAAUUUUUUUAUAUUUAAGUUUUGUAGGAUUAGUAACUUCCACCAUUAAUUUCGUUAUAGUUUAUCUUAAAAUUAAUUUUUAUUUAUUAUAUAUAUUUAAGUUUUUAUUAAAUUUUUUUAUUUAAUUUUUUAUAUUUGUAAUAAUGAUAAAAUUAGUAUUUUUUGAAAUAAGGUAUAGUAAUUCGGCAAUUUUAAUUUUCACCUGUUUAUCAAAAACAUGUCUUUUUGUUUUUAUUUAAAGUCUAGUCUGCUCUAUGAUUAUUUAAAUGGCCGCAGUAUUUUGACUGUGCAAAGGUAGCAUGAUCAUUUGCUUCUUAAUUAGGAGCUUGUAUGAAUGGCUGGAUGAGAAAUUGACUUUCUUUAUUUUAUUUUAUAUAAUUUUAUUUUUUAGUUAAAAAGCUGGAAUUUUUUUAUAAGACGAGAAGACCCUAUAGAACUUUAUAUUUUAUUAUAUUAUUUAUUAUUAGAUAAUAAUUUUAUUAUAUUAUUAUUUAUUUUGUUGGGGUGACAGGUAAAUUUAUUUAACUUUACUUAUUUCAUAUUUCAUUAAUUUAUGAUUUAUUGAUCCAUUUAUUAUGAUUAAAAGUUUAAGUUACCUUAGGGAUAACAGCGUUAUUUUAUUGGAGAGUUCUUAUUUAUAAUAAAGUUUGCGACCUCGAUGUUGGAUUAAAAUUAGUUUUCGGUGUAGAAGCUGUUAUUCUAGGUCUGUUCGACCUUUAAAUUUUUACAUGAUCUGAGUUCAAACCGGCGUGAGCCAGGUUGGUUUCUAUCUUUAAAUUUUUUAAAAUUUCUUAGUACGAAAGGACCAGUUAAAUUUUAAAUAUUUUAUUUAUUUUGAUUAAUAUU
rnacentral:rRNA from 1 species